GACGAACGCUGGCGGCGUGCCUAAUACAUGCAAGUAGGACGCAGUUGCGAACGGGUGAGUAACUCAUAGGUCACUACCUAUUAGAGGGGGAUAAGUAUUGGAAACGAUAGCUACUACCGCAUCCAUGUCGAUGGACCUGCGUUGUAUUUGCUAGUGGGUUGGGUAAAGGCCUACCUAGGCAACGAUACAUAGCCGACCUGAGAGGGUGAUCGGCCACACUGGGACUGAGACACGGCCCAGACUCCUACGGGAGGCAGCAGUAGGGAAUCUUCGGCAAUGGGGGGAACCCUGACCGAGCAACGCCGCGUGAGUGAGGAAGGUUUUCGGGUCGUAAAGCUCUGUUGUUAAGGAAGCGGUACUUAACCAGAAAGGGACGGCUAACUACGUGCCAGCAGCCGCGGUAAUAC
rnacentral:rRNA from 1 species